rnacentral:rRNA from 1 species
AUUGCUCAAUGGGAGAAAUCCUGAAGCAGCAACGCCGCGUGGAGGAUGAAGGGUCUAUGACUUGUAAACUCCUGUAAAGAAGGAAAAAAUUCCCAUUAGAUGGGAGAUGAUGGUACUUCUGGAGUAAGCCCCGGCUAACUACGUGCCAGCAGCCGCGGUAAUACGUAGGGGGCAAGCGUUGUCCGGAUUUACUGGGUGUAAAGGGUGCUCAGGCGGAUUUGUAAGUCAGAGGUGAAAUCUUACAGCUUA